rnacentral:tRNA from 1 species
GGGACUGUAACUCAGUGGUAGAGUGCUUGCCUAGCACGCAUGAGGCACUGGGUUCAAUUCUCAGCACCA